rnacentral:rRNA from 1 species
UACGUAGGGCGCAAGCGUUGUCCGGAGUUAUUGGGCGUAAAGAGCUCGUAGGCGGCGUGUCGCGUCGGUUGUGAAAGCCCGGGGCUUAACUCCGGGUCUGCAGUCGAUACGGGCAGGCUAGAGUUCGGUAGGGGAGAUCGGAAUUCCUGGUGUAGCGGUGAAAUGCGCAGAUAUCAGGAGGAACACCGGUGGCGAAGGCGGAUCUCUGGGCCGAUACUGACGCUGAGGAGCGAAAGCGUGGGGAGCGAACAGG